rnacentral:rRNA from 1 species
CUACGGGCGGCUGCAGUGGGGAAUAUUAGACAAUGGGGGGAACCCUGAUCCAGCCAUGCCGCGUGUGUGAAGAAGGCCCUCGGGGUGUAAAGCACUUUCAGUGAGGAAGAACGCCUGGUGGUUAAUACCCAUCAGGAAAGACAUCACUCACAGAAGAAGCACCGGCUAACUCCGUGCCAGCAGCCGCGGUAAUACGGAGGGUGCGAGCGUUAAUCGGAAUUACUGGGCAUAAAGCGCGCGUAGGUGGCUUGAUAAGCCGGUUGUGAAAGCCCCGGGCUCAACCUGGGAACGGCAUCCAGAACUGUCAAGCUAGAGUGCAGGAGAGGAAGGUAGAAUUCCCGGUGUAGCGGUGAAAUGCGUAGAGAUCGGGAGGAAUACCAGUGGCGAAGGCGGCCUUCUGGACUGACACUGACACUGAGGUGCGAAAGCGUGGGUAGCAAACAGGAUUAGAUACCCGAGUAGUC